GCAUGCCUACAACUUAGUGUUAAUGCACCAGAUCUAAUUAGAACUCCGCAGUUAAGCAUGCUUGGGCUAGAGUAGCACUGAGAUGGGUGACUACCCAGGAAGUCCUAGUAUUUUACAUGCC
rfam:Picea glauca, whole genome shotgun sequence.